rnacentral:rRNA from 1 species
GACGAACGCUGGCGGCGUGCCUAAUACAUGCAAGUAGAACGCUGAAGGAGGAGCUUGCUUCUCUGGAUGAGUUGCGAACGGGUGAGUAACGCGUAGGUAACCUGCCUGGUAGCGGGGGAUAACUAUUGGAAACGAUAGCUAAUACCGCAUAAGAGUAGAUGUUGCAUGACAUUUGCUUAAAAGGUGCAAUUGCAUCACUACCAGAUGGACCUGCGUUGUAUUAGCUAGUUGGUGGGGUAACGGCUCACCAAGGCGACGAUACAUAGCCGACCUGAGAGGGUGAUCGGCCACACUGGGACUGAGACACGGCCCAGACUCCUACGGGAGGCAGCAGUAGGGAAUCUUCUGCAAUGGACGGAAGUCUGACCGACCAACGCCCCGUGAGUGAAGAACGUUUUCGGAUCGUCCGAUCUGUUGUAAGUGAAGAACAAGUGUGAGAGUGGAAUGUUCACAGAGUCUGGGUCUCUUACCAGACACGGACGGCUCAAUCGUGCCUCAGUCGCGGAAAUACCGUCGUGGUGCUGAUAUUGUAUUUAUAACGAACUAAAGAAUGCAGGUCUAUCUGGUGUUGAGACAGUGCCCCUCUAAUUAACCGUAGAGGAGCAUCUAAACUUAUACAAUAUUAGCUCUCGUUACCGAUAGGGAUCUCCCCGUCCCCGCCGGGAUCCUUCGCUUUAACGCAACUCCCUCUCACGAAGUAACAUGUUUCGCCUUCC